GAGUUUGAUCCUGGCUCAGAGUGAACGCUGGCGGCGUGGAUUAGGCAUGCAAGUCGAGCGAUCCUUGUUACUGAUGGAGAUUGAAGCUUCGGCUGAUAUCUUUUGAUGUAACGCGGGAUAGCGGCAAACGGGUGAGUAACGCGUGGGUAACCUACCUUGAGGAGGAGGACAGCUUCGCGAAAGCGGAGGUAAUACUCCAUGCUACUUUAGAUUGAUUUUCUAAAGUCAAAGAUGGCCUCUAUUUAUAAGCUGUCACCUUAAGAGGGGCCCGCGUCCUAUCAGGUUGUUGGUGGGGUAAAAGCCUACCAAGCCGAAGACGGGUAGCUGACGUAAGAGCGUGACCAGCCACAUCGGGACUGAGACACUGCCCCGACUCCUACGGGAGGCUGCAGUCGAGAAUAUUUCCCAAUGGACGCAAGUCUGAGGAUGCGACGCCGCGUGGAGGAUGACGGCCUUCGGGUUGUAAACUCAUUUUAUUGAGGAGGACGUUAUUAGCUUAAUAAGCUUUUAAUCUGACUGUACUCGACGAAUAAGCCACGGCUAACUCCGUGCCAGCAGCCGCGGUAAUAC
rnacentral:rRNA from 1 species